UACGAAGGGGGCUAGCGUUGUUCGGAAUCACUGGGCGUAAAGCGCACGUAGGCGGAUCUUUAAGUCAGGGGUGAAAUCCCGAGGCUCAACCUCGGAACUGCCUUUGAUACUGGGAUUUCGAGUCCGGGAGAGGUGAGUGGAACUGCGAGUGUAGAGGUGAAAUUCGUAGAUAUUCGCAAGAACACCAGUGGCGAAGGCGGCUCACUGGCCCGAUACUGACGCUGAGGUGCGAAAGCGUGGGAGCAACAGG
rnacentral:rRNA from 1 species